GCCCCUGUAGCUCAGAGGAUAGAGCGUUGGUCUCCGAAGCCAUGUGCCCGCGUUCGAGUCGCGGCAGGGGCA
rnacentral:tRNA from 3 species